UAAUAGUGGAGAGGCUGCUCUUAGAGACUAUAAUCAUCAGUAUAAAUCCUCCACUAAUCAUUCAUCCAAAAUGUGAUGAUAUUUCUCCUUUGGUAAAUUUAGCACCUCCGGUGUUUAACACAAACCCACAGCAAAUGCUCGCCGCUAAUGAUCAUCCUUGAGCGAAUUUUGUUUGUCCGAGUCGAAGGAAUGUGGCUGUUAGAGGUGUUCCUGCGCAGCUCCGUCUGGGGCGGCCGACCGGAGAGAGUGUGAAGCUUUCUUUGGCCUGCUGUGUCCAAAGAAAGAAAGUGAGGAAAUAAAGAGGGAGGGAGCCCCCGAGACCACGUCCAAACACAGCAAACAUGGCAGCACCACACACUGCGUGUAUACUCGGACGUGGCCCGAGCAGUGGAUCUUUUAUCGCUGAACGUCUGGGAAACAACAACACUUCCUCGAAUCGCCACUAGUGGCCGCUGUUGUCCAGCUGAAGGUGCGAGCUCGUGAUAAGGUUCUGCCCCGAGGAGGUGAAGAUAUGACCAUGGAGACCAGCUCACAGGGAGGGAGACACUACACCAGUUAAAUAUUCAGUUUUAAAAGCUACAUAAACCAGAGAAGAGACGGCACGACGGCAGCACGACGUUUUAUAAGCUACAUAAGCCAGAGAGAAGGCAUAGCACAACGACAUCACGACGGCAGCACGGCGACAGCAACUAUUAAUAAUAUUAUUAUUAACUUAUUCUCACAACUUUUUUUGCCUUAUUCAUAUUUUUAUUUGAUGUUAUUCUUUGAAUUUUUCAUUUCAGUUUUAUAA
rnacentral:lncRNA from 1 species